AUCAAGUGGACGAGUGUUGUAAUCAGCUGGAGUGCAGAUCGCAGCAAGAUUGAUGGUCAGAUCUGCCAUCUUGAUAAGGCCUUCAAGACGAGAAUCGUUCUUAAUGUUGAUACGGUGAAACUCAAUACGAUCAGCCCAGGCGAGAGUAGCCGGUUCGAGAAGAUGCUUGAUCUUGUCAUUGCUAACAUCGACGGCGAGCACCUUGUGCGGCGUCUCCGACAUCAAUUUUUCACAUAGAUGCGAGCCAAUAAAACCUCCGGCACCAAUCAUACAUAUUGUAAUCGGCUUAAUCGGAUUUCCGUCCAGAUCUACCCUUCCUGCCAUUUCCAAAAUUCUCUACAACUGCUACUUGUUCGUUAACUUCCACUCUGAAAGAUAGAAAUUCGUUGCUUCUCUGAAGGGAAACAAAUGCUAUGGGGAAAAUGACGGUGAAGAAGAGAAAAUAAUUUGAUGGGAUGUAUUUAAAGGAA
rnacentral:misc_RNA from 1 species